UUGUCUUCAUUCUAAAAUCAAUCACAACUCAUCAAAUCCAAUUUUCCGCCUAAGGGCAUCCAAAACCUUUUAACAAAGGACGUGUUACUUCCGUUCUACCUUGGUACAAACAACGCUUAAGCCUCUCAUGUGCGAGCAUACAAGUCAUGCUUAACUGAUAGAAUGUAAUCCAAGCUCAUCCAUUCUACCGCAAAUAAACAAACGCUUAAGUCUCUCAUGUGUGACCAUACAAGCUACGUUAACUGCUAGAACGCGAACCUUAACAAUGUUCAUUAAAAC
rnacentral:lncRNA from 1 species